CUCGUAUCAGCUGGACAUGUAUCCAUGGCUAUGAAUAAAUUAAAAAAAAAACUAGUGUCAGGUGAACAAUGAAAAACAAUAAGUUGUCAUAUUUCAUAUUAUUUUUCAGAAUUUGUAAUUAAUUGAUUCCUGAGUGUACGUCAAUGUUAAUUAAAUCUGCAUUUACCUGUUCUGGUAAAAUUCAUACUAUAAAAAUAUAAAAUGUUUUCCUCCAUUAAGAAUUUUUUUAAACGGAGGACAUCGAAAUUAAUUGAAAAUAAUAGAAGUGCACCACCUUCUAUACUUUGUGGAUUUGUGGGAUUGUUUGAGUAUAUAUUAUUUUGGAAGAAGAUAUGGCUAUCAUUAUGUUUCAUGUUGAUAUUAAAUAUUAUUUUUAUAAUAUGUAUCCAGCGUCAAAUCAAAUUAUUUGUAUUUGUUUUGAGUCUUGCCAUCACAAUUAUGAUUAUAGAUGCAUUUGAAAGUUGGUU